rnacentral:rRNA from 1 species
AAAACGACUCUCGGCAACGGAUAUCUCGGCUCUCGCAUCGAUGAAGAACGCAGCGAAAUGCGAUACUUGGUGUGAAUUGCAGGAUCCCGCGAACCAUCGAGUUUUUGAACGCAAGUUGCGCCCAAAGCCUUUUGGCCGAGGGCACGUCUGCCUGGGUGUCAC